UGGAGUUGCAGCGGAAGCGGUGAAAGAGCUAUGAGGGGUAGUUCUAAACUGGAGUUGCAGCGU
rnacentral:tRNA from 1 species